CUUUUUGAUAAUAAUUUAAAGUCGGCCCUGCCCACUGAAAUUUAAAUGGCCGCGGUAUUUUGACCGUGCAAAGGUAGCAUAAUCAAUAGUUUUUUAAUUGAAAGCUGGAAUGAAGGGGUUAAUAAAAAAAUAACUGUCUCUAAUUUAUUUUAUUAGAAAUUUAUUUUUAAGUAAAAAAGCUUAAAUAUAUUUUAAAGACGAUAAGACCCUAUAGAGUUUGAUAUUUUAUUUUUAUGAUUUAGUAGAAUAUUAAUUUAAAAUAUAAAAUAUUUUGUUGNNNUGAUAGAAAAAUUUAAUAAACUUUUUUUAAAUGAAACAUAAAUUUAUGAAAAUUUGAUCCAUAAGUUAUGAUUAUAAGAUUAAAUUACCUUAGGGAUAACAGCGUAAUUUUUUUUAAGAGUUCAAAUCGAAAAAAGAGUUUGCGACCUCGAUGUUGGAUUAAAAUUAAAUUUUGGAGUAGAAAUUAAA
rnacentral:rRNA from 1 species